AUUGAACGCUGGCGGCAUGCUUUACACAUGCAAGUCGAACGGUAACAGGCCGCAAGGUGCUGACGAGUGGCGAACGGGUGAGUAAUGCAUCGGAACGUGCCCAGUCGUGGGGGAUAACGCAGCGAAAGCUGUGCUAAUACCGCAUACGAUCUAUGGAUGAAAGCGGGGGACCGUAAGGCCUCGCCCGAUUGGCGCGGCCGAUGUCAGAUUAGGUAGUUGGUGGGGUAAAGGCCUACCAAGCCGACGAUCUGUAGCUGGUCUGAGAGGACGACCUGCCACACUGGGACUGAGACACGGCCCAGACUCCUACGGGAGGCAGCAGUGGGGAAUUUUGGACAAUGGGCGCAAGCCUGAUCCAGCAAUGCCGCGUGCAGGAAGAAGGCCUUCGGGUUGUAAACUGCUUUUGUACGGAACGAAACGGUCUGGGUUAAUACCCCGGGCUAAUGACGGUACCGUAAGAAUAAGCACCGGCUAACUACGUGCCAGCCGCCGCGGUAACAC
rnacentral:rRNA from 1 species